GCCCAAUUUCGCACGUGCCUGUAGCCGUGUGUCGAUCGGUAGGUAGCGGGACAAGAGGCCCGCCAGCCGCCUGGGAGGGGGAUCUACCCCGACCAAUUUCUGAUCGGCAGCCGGAGGCGAAACCGGCGUACCCCGCGCUCAACGGGGGACGUGGCUUAAGCAACGACGGAGCGGGCUUUU
rnacentral:sRNA from 1 species